rnacentral:misc_RNA from 1 species
UUAAGCUUAGUGAAAUUGUACUUGCUUGAAGUCAAAGAAUUAAAUUAUCUCAUUUUUCUUUUAACUCGUAUGUGACAUCAAGCAAGUACAAUUUCACUAAGCUUAACAAAGAAUUUAAACAAUAAAACACCUAUCUACUAUCUACUAAAUUUUACGACUCAAGACACCCACAAGGCUGCAGAUGACUACACAUAUCUAGAACCUACUCCAAGUUUGCAGCUGAAAUGGAACACUAGGAGACUAAAAUACAACUCAGGUAAAGAACCAAAAGAAGCAUGCCUAAUACUUCACUUUCUAGCAUGGUAGAAAAAAUGAGAUGACCCAAAUUGAAUGACUAGCAGAAUUGAAUCGCUAGCAAUACUC